CCUGUGUGGUAGAGGACUGCUCACACCAAAUAUAUUUCCUCUGUCAUAGAUCUGCUAGGAAACAGUAAGGCACAGCCACAGCCUGACAGCUAUGCCCUGGCCUUGGAAUGCUAAUUGUAUAGGUCAGGCUGCCAUUCUUUGAUUCCCAUUCAAUGCAGUUUUCCCUUGAAUCACUCAUUUGACCUCGGAAGGCUUCCUUGACCUGGGAGCUCUGUGGUGCUGCUGUCUUUCAUAAGACUCUCUAGACAUCUAUAUCAGCCACCUCACCUUCCGAUAGUCCCUCAAUGCUCUUACGAACAGGCUCUGCUUCUUUUCCCUCUCGUGAUCUACGACAUCCACAUUGCUUCUCCUCCCACUCCGAAGACCUCGAAGGCGAAAGCAGGGGCCUAUGUCGGCCACCCCGCUCACCCCGGCGCCUCUCCCGCCUGAGAACACGGGCGAGGCCUUGUGAGGUGGGGCUCGCACCCGGUUCCGAGGUGGGCGCUUUUCUCCCUCCACGAGAGUUCCUGACCUGACUCGCCCGGCGCCUGGCUCCUUUGUCUGACUUUCACAGGGCUGGCAGCAGUCCGCAGCGCCCCUCACUCGCCUACGUGUGAAAGAGCGAGCGUGUGCUUGAGGAUCUGGAGAGGCGAGGCGGACCGCGAGGGCCACUUGUCUGGCGCCCCCUCUG
rnacentral:lncRNA from 1 species